rnacentral:rRNA from 1 species
AGUGAACGCUGGCGGUAGGCCUAACACAUGCAAGUCGAACGGCAGCACAGUAAGAGCUUGCUCUUACGGGUGGCGAGUGGCGGACGGGUGAGGAAUACAUCGGAAUCUACUUUUUCGUGGGGGAUAACGUAGGGAAACUUACGCUAAUACCGCAUACGACCUACGGGUGAAAGCAGGGGAUCUUCGGACCUUGCGCGAUUGAAUGAGCCGAUGUCGGAUUAGCUAGUUGGCGGGGUACAGGCCCACCAAGGCGACGAUCCGUAGCUGGUCUGAGAGGAUGAUCAGCCACACUGGAACUGAGACACGGUCCAGACUCCUACGGGAGGCAGCAGUGGGGAAUAUUGGACAAUGGGCGCAAGCCUGAUCCAGCCAUACCGCGUGGGUGAAGAAGGCCUUCGGGUUGUAAAGCCCUUUUGUUGGGAAAGAAAAGCAGCAGGUUAAUACCCCGCUGUUCUGACGGUACCCAAAGAAUAAGCACCGGCUAACUUCGUG